rnacentral:rRNA from 1 species
GAUGAACGCUGGCGGCGUGCCUAAUACAUGCAAGUCGAGCGAACAGACGAGGCUCUUGCUCCUCGGACGUUAGCGGCGCACGGGUGAGUAACACGUGGAUAACCUACCUAUAAGACUGAGAUAGCUUGGGGAAACCGGAGCUAAUACGGGAUAAUAUAUUGAACCCCAUGGGUCAGUAGUAAAGGGCGGUUUUGCUGUCGCUUAUGGAUGCGUCCGCGCCGCUUUUGCUAGUUGGUAAGGUAAAGGCUUACCAUGGCGGCGAGGCGUAGACGGGCUGAGAGGGUGAUCGGCCACCCGGGAACAGAGACACGGUGCAGCCGCCUAGGGGAGGACGCAGGAGGGAAGCGGCCGAAAUGGGAGAAAGCCUGACGGAGCAACGCCGCGUGAGUGAGGAAGGUAUUGGGACCUUAGAACUGUGUUACUAGUGAAGAACAAAUGUGGAAGUAACUAUGCACGUCUUGACGGUACCUAAUCAGAAAGCCACGGCUAACUACGUG